AGCAGUCGCCGCGGUAAUACGUAGGGUGCAAGCGUUAAUCGGAAUUACUGGGCGUAAAGCGUGCGCAGGCGGUUAUAUAAGUCAGAUGUGAAAUCCCCGGGCUCAACCUGGGAACUGCAUUUGAGACUGUAUGGCUAGAGUGUGUCAGAGGGGGGUAGAAUUCCACGUGUAGCAGUGAAAUGCGUAGAUAUGUGGAGGAAUACCGAUGGCGAAGGCAGCCCCCUGGGAUAACACUGACGCUCAUGCACGAAAGCGUGGGGAGCAAACAGGAUUAGAUACCCGAGUAGUCCCUGUCUCUUAUAC
rnacentral:rRNA from 1 species